rnacentral:rRNA from 1 species
AUUGAACGCUGGCGGCAUGCCUUACACAUGCAAGUCGAACGGCAGCACGGGAGCAAUCCUGGUGGCGAGUGGCGAACGGGUGAGUAAUAUAUCGGAACGUGCCCAGUCGUGGGGGAUAACGCAGCGAAAGCUGUGCUAAUACCGCAUACGAUCUACGGAUGAAAGCGGGGGAUCGCAAGACCUCGCGCGAUUGGAGUGGCCGAUGUCAGAUUAGCUAGUUGGUGGGGUAAAGGCCUACCAAGGCAACGAUCUGUAGCUGGUCUGAGAGGAUGAUCAGCCACACUGGGACUGAGACACGGCCCAGACUCCUACGGGAGGCAGCAGUGGGGAAUUUUGGACAAUGGGGGCAACCCUGAUCCAGCCAUUCCGCGUGAGUGAAGAAGGCCUUCGGGUUGUAAAGCUCUUUCGGCAGGAACGAAACGGCGAGCUCUAACAUAGCUCGCUAAUGACGGUACCUGAAGAAGAAGCACCGGCUAACUACGUGCCAGCAGCCGCCGUAAUAC